UAUGAUUUAUAUAUAUAUAUAUAUAUAUAUAUAUAAUAAUAAUAAUAAUAAAAGUAUUUUUAAAUUAAGGUUAGUUUUAGUAAUUUAAAUGAAUAAAUAAAUUUUAUUAUAGUCGAUUAGUACUGUAAAGGGAGUUUGAAAUAAAAUGAAAUUUUAAUAAUAUUUAAGUAAGUUUAAUUUAUUGUACCUUGUGUAUCAGGGGUUAUUAAUUUAGAAAAUUUUAUUGAUUUGAUCUCGAAUUUAAAAGAGUUAAUAGAGUAUGAUUUAUAAUGUUUAAUAAUUAUAGUAAAUAGGCUAUUGGUAGUGAAAUGUUAUUCGAUUUUAAAUAUAUCUAGUUUUUUAAGAAAUAAAUUUAAUUUAUUGAGUUAGUGGUAAUUUAUUUUAUUAGUAAAAUAAAUUAAUUGAUUUAAUUAUAAAUUAAGGGAUAAUCUUUAAUUUAAAUUUCUAUAAUAUUGAAUUUAAAGUUAUAAUUUUAAAGGUUUAAUAAUAACUGUUAUUAUGUAAAUGUUAUAAUUUAUUUAUAAUAUAUUUUUUAUUUUUUUUUUUUUAGUUGAUUUAUUAAAAUAAAUUUUAUAAUAAUUUUAUUUUUAUAAUAAUGAUAAUAUUAGUAAAUAUAUAUAUAUAUAUAUAUAUAUAAGUUUUAGUAAGGAAUUCGGCAAAUUAAUUAUAUAUUCACCUGUUUAUCAAAAACAUGUCUUUUUGAUUAUAAUUUAAAGUCUAAUCUGCCCAAUGAUAAUUUUAAUGGCCGCGGUAUUUUGACCGUGCAAAGGUAGCAUAAUAAUUAGUCUUUUAAUUGAAGACUUGUAUGAAGGAUUGAAUGAAAUAUAUACUGUCUCAUUAAAAUUUAAGAUUGAAUUUAAUUUUUGAGUUAAAAAGCUUAAAUUUAAUUAGAGGACGAGAAGACCCUAUAGAGUUUUAUAUUUAUUGGGGUAUUAAUUUAAUGGAUAAAUUAAUAUUGAUAGUAUUUAUUUUAUUGGGGUGAUAGGAAAAUUUAUUAAACUUUUUUAUUUAUAUGUACAUUAAUAUAUGAGUUAUUGAUCCUUAUUUAAAGAUUAAUAGAUUAAAUUACCUUAGGGAUAACAGCGUAAUUUUUUUUCAAAGUUCAUAUUUGAAAGAAAGAUUGCGACCUCGAUGUUGGAUUAAAAAUAAUUUUAGGUGCAGAAGCUUAUAAAAUUAGGUCUGUUCGACCUUUAAAUUUUUACAUGAUCUGAGUUCAGACCGGCGUGAGCCAGGUUGGUUUCUAUCCUUAAUUUAUUAAAAUAUUAUAGUACGAAAGGAUUUAAUAUUUAUAAUAAUUUAUAUUAGAGUUGAAUUUUAUUAAAAUUAUUGAUUAAUAAUAU
rnacentral:rRNA from 1 species